UAUACUUGCUGUUCCCUCUGCACACUUACUUUGCUCUAUAUGCCUUUUAAAAAGUUAUAGGACUUAAUGCUCGAAUCAUUGUGGAUUAUUUUAUGUGAAGUUGGCUCCAAAGAAGCCUCUACUCUCUACUUCCCUCACUGAACACAGAACUCAAAGCCCAGCAUUUCAUCACCACUACUAGAUAAACAAAAAGUAUUGGAGAGCCCAUUGCACAAAGUUUUCUUCCUUUGCUCCUCCACGCUGGUACCACAGAUAUCUACAAGAAGCCCCUUCUGAUCUUGAGGGAGCAAGCUGGAAUCCCUGCAGAAGGAAACACUGCAAUUUGAAUGGAGUGCAUGGAUUUCAUGAGCAGCUUUAGAAAGUGGCAGAAGCUGGAGUAGUAGGCAGGAAAUGUAUGAGGGCAGAGAAAAGCAACAAAUUUUAUGGGGAUAUUGAAAUACUGGCUGAAUGUACCAAGGUACAGACUCAGGGAGGUCACAGCUGAACUUCCACUCCAGUUGUCAAUGUCCAUCUCUCUCUUCUGCAAGCCUCAUCACACUCAUGUUCUUGAAAUUUCUCCUUACAGAGACUGGAUCCCUGCUAGCUCCCCUCAAAAUCCUGCAUUACUUUCUGUUGUUCAUCGACGAAAGCAAGAUAAAGUAAACCUGUUACCUUCUAACCACUGUGCUUUAACAGUUACCCACACUUGCAAGGCACUCCAGAGCACACUUGCAGCCCUCAAAAGCAGAAUGUCCUGCAUAUUGCUUCUGGCAUCAGCUGCAUUACACUUGAAGCAUUUAUCAUCACUGUGGCUCUUUGAUCCUUUCCAGGAUCGAACUUCCCGGUGUGACGCCCCUCUGUACAAAAGCCUUAGGUAAUCAACACUUAUACUGUGACAGCUCAUGCUGCAAAAACACCAGUACUAUUUCAUGGUGAAACAGAUGUUUUAAGAAUGCACCUAGCAUCUUCAGGGAGGGCUGUUCUCUAGCUUAACAUUAUUUUAAAAAUACAACAAGAAUUCUAAAAUAUAAAUCUGCAUAGCAAAAAAAUGUGUUAUUAAGCAUACUAAAGCUUAUGUUACAUUAGCAACAUAACAUAAACUGUUUCAUAACAGACAAAAAAUGGCAGAAAGGGAAGCCUAGACACCAAUUUCAUAGCUACCUAGUUUGUGAAGCAUGACACUUUUAUAGAAACCCCUGACCCUUUAUACCUUGAAAACAUUUCUCUUUUUUUUUUUUUUGUAGUAUGCAUUAUAAACGAAACACAGAAUUUCAAUUAAAAAAUCAACCUUUGUCUACUCUUAGCCUAUUUUUUUCCUAUAUUGCAUUAAUUGUCUGCACAAUUGUCUUCAAAAAAAUUAAAAGUGGAAAUAUUUUUUACUUUUACUGGUGUACUGUCAGACUAAAAGAAAAUAAUCAAAAAUUAGAACAAUUAAAAUAUAAAUAUAAAAACAAUUAUUAAACUGGAAAUUAAACCAUAUAAUGAUUUUUGAAUGAAUAUAGGUUUUGCUAUUUCUUUUUCAAAGAAAAUAGAAGAAAACAUAUGUUUUUCCUAUUCUGAAGAAUAAAUUACUAUUUCAGUCCUAUGGUUUGGGAAUUCUGUUUCUGCUACAAUCAAGCCAUCCUGUCACCCCAUGCAGAACCUCAUUCCCUGAGAAGGAUUUAAGUCUAAUAAGAGGUCUUACUGAUCUGUUUCAUUACUUGCUUACUUGGCAAUUUCUUGAACACUGUAGGAGGAUUACAUUAGCUUUGCAUGUCAUGGGGAAAGGAUAUGCAGAAAUGCCCAUGAAUACUGAACUUCAGGGUACUGUUGAAUUUUUAACAUUUCAAAGAACACUCUUUGAAAAACUGGUUGAAUGAUUUGGAAAUGGACAGUGAAGACAGCAUGAAAGUGCCAUAAAAAUAGAAUUAUUAUAAUACUUAAAAAAUAAAAAACAUUUUGUGAUUGCUUAUUGUUAAAACAAACAAAAAAAAAAAAAAACAAACCAACCCUCAACAUUUCCUCCCCGAGGGACAGUGACUUGGCUGUAGCAUU